UGCAAGUCGAACGGUGAAGCAGAGCUUGCUCUGUGGAUCAGUGGCGAACGGGUGAGUAACACGUGAGUAACCUGCCCUUGACUCUGGGAUAAGCGUUGGAAACGACGUCUAAUACCGGAUACGACCCUCAACCGCAUGGUUAGGGGGUGGAAAGAUUUUUUGGUCAAGGAUGGACUCGCGGCCUAUCAGCUUGUUGGUGAGGUAAUGGCUCACCAAGGCGACGACGGGUAGCCGGCCUGAGAGGGUGACCGGCCACACUGGGACUGAGACACGGCCCAGACUCCUACGGGAGGCAGCAGUGGGGAAUAUUGCACAAUGGGCGCAAGCCUGAUGCAGCAACGCCGCGUGAGGGAUGACGGCCUUCGGGUUGUAAACCUCUUUUAGUAGGGAAGAAGCGAAAGUGACGGUACCUGCAGAAAAAGCACCGGCUAACUACGUGCCAGCAGCCGCGGUAAUACGUAGGGUGCAAGCGUUGUCCGGAAUUAUUGGGCGUAAAGAGCUCGUAGGCGGUUUGUCGCGUCUGCUGUGAAAACUGGAGGCUCAACCUCCAGCCUGCAGUGGGUACGGGCAGACUAGAGUGCGGUAGGGGAGAUUGGAAUUCCUGGUGUAGCGGUGGAAUGCGCAGAUAUCAGGAGGAACACCGAUGGCGAAGGCAGAUCUCUGGGCCGUAACUGACGCUGAGGAGCGAAAGCGUGGGGAGCGAACAGGAUUAGAUACCCUGGUAGUCCACGCCGUAAACGUUGGGAACUAGAUGUGGGGACCAUUCCACGGUCUCCGUGUCGCAGCUAACGCAUUAAGUUCCCCGCCUGGGGAGUACGGCCGCAAGGCUAAAACUCAAAGGAAUUGACGG
rnacentral:rRNA from 1 species